rnacentral:rRNA from 1 species
GUGCCAGCCGCCGCGGUAAUACGUAGGGGGCAAGCGUUGUCCGGAAUCAUUGGGCGUAAAGCGCGUGUAGGCGGUCCGAUAAGUCGGCUGUGAAAGUCCAGGGCUCAACCCUGGGAUGCCGGUCGAUACUGUCGGACUAGAGUUCGGAAGAGGCGAGUGGAAUUCCCGGUGUAGCGGUGAAAUGCGCAGAUAUCGGGAGGAACACCAAUGGCGAAGGCAGCUCGCUGGGACGUUACUGACGCUGAGACGCGAAAGCGUGGGGAGCAAACAGGAUUAGAUACCCUAGUAGUCC